CCUAGAUCCCAUUUAAGGGCUGACUGCCACUGGGGAAGGAUCUUUUUCUGGAGUUUUCUCCUGUGAGCCUGGGAUGGGGGUGAGAGAAGGAAUGUUGCUUAGAUUGGGACUGAACCUUCAGCUGAUUAAAAAAUGAUAAUAAUAACAAAAAGCUGAUAAUACUGGUGAACUGAAAAAUAACAUGUCUCUAUGAAUCAUUGUACGAAGAAGAGGUGUGUAGAAACCAGGCAGAAAAUUCAGGUCUAACGUUUGACGCCUGAUUGUUAGGAAAAAUACGCACUAAGGCAACGCCACUGUUGCCCAGGAGAGGGCAGUCACAGACAUCCGCAGCGUUCAGAGGCGCUCGUAGGGAACUGCGCGCGCAGCGAAAGGGAUCGUCUGAAAACCGUGAGCAUCACUCACGUUUUUAUGGCCUUACAGACGCCAGUGCUGCUCCGACUGACUUCAAACCUGUCCUCAGACCUUAUGAACCAUCGGGCUGAGGUCGGAAACCACCCUUAAUGCUCCAGCCGAAGUUUUUACAGCCUCCUAAACAAAGACCUAACUGGCUUAUCGGGCAGAUGGGAGGUAUGGAAGUACUGCAUAAAGCAGAAUUUAGAGAGGCACAGCAUAAACAAGUGGUGGCACAUGCUGAAGGUUGAGUGCAGCGAUGUGAGAUUAGAGAGGAGAGGAACCAGCUGGCCAUAUGGAGGGAGACUUGGGAGAGCUGAGGCCUGUCAGCAGAUCCACGGGCACCGGUACUGACAUCCAUCAGAAGAGCAGAUCUUCCUAUUGGCACUGGUGGUGAAGAUACCCUCCAGGAUGGACAAAUGUGGAUGCAGGAGGUAUCCAAUGAGGCCACGUGCAAUACUGACGCUUGUCUCCUUUAUGUAUUGUUCAUCACUAAUGCAACAGCCUGUGACACCUCACCAUCUGUGUCAGUGCGGGUUUGGGAAGUAAUUUUGAAACAUCAGGUAUCUAUGAAUUUCAAGGCUUAAUAUGUCACCUUAUUCUUGUGCAAUGCCAGUCCUGCAACAUUCAAUGUCUACGAAUUCAGUCAUGCUUUUCGUAUAGAGACUAUUUCUAAAAAUAGGGGUAAAAAUAUGAGACAGUACUUUGCAGAAUUGUAUAGUGAGAGUUGUAGGUAAUGGAUGACAAACUGGAGAAAAGCUACCCGAAGGAAUGAAAUUUUUGCUUGGAAGAUCCAAGAAACAAUAACAAAAAAACCAAUCAAACAAAAAAUACCAAACAACAACCUGACAAAUUAAAUCCCGAUGUAAUCUAGAAGAGCCAAACAAAAAGCCAGGCUUGGGCUGUGGUUCUAUUAAACCACAUCUAACUAACCAAACUUGCAGAACCACCCCAUGUCUGACUUAUCAGUAAUCCCAAUAAAGUACAAGAAGAGUUAGAAGUAUUAGCUUUUGUUGUAUUCCAGGAGAAAUAAUUCAGUACAGAGCAAAUGCAGCCAAAAAAACAAAACAAAAAAAAAAAAAACAACCCAACAACACGAAAUUCUACUUCUGGGUAUUCAAAGUGCUGAGAAAACUGUACAAGGCCAAGCUGUGAGUGUUGACCCUUAGGCUAAUAGCCUAAGAUCUGUAAUCCAGUGUCUAAAAAUCCAUGGGAUCCUGUGGUUCAUUGCACUCUGGUUCUUCCUGGUGUUAAUUUCUGUGCAGUUCCAUCCUGCUGUGUGUCGAUUUGCCUUGGGAUGGGUUCAGCACGUGGUGCCUGUUAUGUCAAACAGACCUUACAUGAAGGUUAGCACUUGUUUUUUGUUAUUAUUUCUGCCUUUGAAAUGGUCAGGAAAAAUAUGGUCCCUCCAGCAUUUAUUACAUGAGCACAAUUACUUUAUCACUCUUCACAUUUUCAGAAAGCCACAUCCUGAAGAUGGAGGUAGAUGACCACUGAAAAUAUUUGCCAGGGGUGCUGAGGAGCAGCUGAAUGUUUUGGAGCAUCAGCCACAACCAGGGUACCUGUGCUGGAGUGUGCAUGUGUAUUUCAGUUUUCCUGGCCAUAAAUGUAGAUACCACAUAAUGCUGAGGGUCAAAUUCAAUCCUGGCAUAGCUUCAGUGAAAUUGGAUCGUCUGCCUUUGGGUUGCUGGUGCUGUCUGGUGUUUAAUUUAGAUCAUAUUCAGUCUGAAUUAGUGCUUGCUUCACCCAAGCAAGGCAGGCUUUGCAAAUGGGUUUUCUCUUCACCUCACUUCAUGUGAGUCCUCGUGCAUAUUCUUCCAUCUUUGAGAAACUGCUCUCUUUAGUUUUAUUGUAUCUAAGGGAAAUUUUCAUCAGCAGAGAGAAGAAUGUGGAUCGCAUCUCUGCGAGGGAGCACCAAAAGAAAAAUUCUGCCAAGAGAAGCCGUAACAGAGAGCACUGUUGAUGUAGAUAAAAAGUCUGCCCUGAGGACAGCUUGUCACAUGGAGCCUCUUGUGCCAUUAAUUACAAUUCUGAGGUGCAGAUGAAAUAUGGAUGUGAUAGAAGAGGUUUGCUUUGUAAUGUGUUGCUGGAUAAUAUUUUUAAGGAGACAACAUUGUGCCAAGUCUUCAGCUCAUACAUAAAAGUCUUUCUUUUCUUGUUGCAAGAAAAGACUCCUGACAUCUCAGUCCCAAAGCACUGGGUACUGCUCUGGUUAUAUUUCCAAAAGCAGGUUGUUCCAAAGGGUCCUACAGGAAGGGCUGCAACACAGAUGUUAUUCCCACAGGAGUUCUUUCUUCCUCCUUGCCAUCCUCAUCAGACCUGUCUUGGCUGACAUCUUCAUUGCUGAUGAGCAGAAGGAAGUAAAAUGCUAAUGACUUUCCUAGAAGAUGAUAAUAAAAUAGGUUUGUACCUGCUGGUUAGGACAUAAAAGGACAGCAUAAAGGGAAGUAGCAAGGUUAGAAACACAGGCAGAAAAUAACACAAGGAGAUUUGCCUUGGGAAAAAUGCAACCAAAUGCACUUGGUGGCAACACAGCUUGGAAGAGGUGGUCAGCAGGCUGGGCAGGGAAGGGAUGGUGUGAGCAACAAGAGCAAGGUGUGAUGGUAGGUGGCACAUCAGAUGUGUGCUUGCAGUGUGACUGCAACCUAAUGUAGGGAACCUGCUUUGGCAGAGAGGCUGUACUCAGAGGCCUCCAGAGGUCCCUUCCAAAUCUUACAGCUCUGUGAUUCUGUGGUAUGCUCUCUGUGCCCACAUUGCUUCCAGAACUGUGAAAACAAUCCCAGAUUAAUUUGUUAGAGAAUUACCAUUCAAGUGAAAAUCCAUACAAACUAGAAAAUAAUACUGGGAAGAAUUUUACUUCAACUCUGGUCAGUAUGUUGUACACAAUAUCAAAACUGUAACAAGACUCUCGAUGAAACACAUGGAAUUACUAAAUACAGAAGUAGCCAAGAGCUCAGUGGGGACAGGAAUUCCAAUAAUACACAGAGCAAAAACAAGCAUUGUGAAGCAGCUCUGAACUAGGAUGGAUUACAAAGGGAAGCUUUGCUAUCUAUGGCUUAUAGAGGGAAACUGAGGCACAGAGAAAUUUAAUCUCUUGUUUAGUGUCAGGGAAGAAAUCUCUGUCAGAGCCAUGAACUAAACUUAGCCUGCUGGGUCUGCAUUCCUGUCCCGAGCACCACCGAGCAAUAAAUAGCAGGGAGCAGGAAAAUGGAAAGAAGCCAUGAGAGGAGCUGAGUCUCUGCUCUGAGGUCUCUGGUGGCAGGGCAGGUUAGUGAAACAGCUGGGCAGCAGGGAUUGCAGCAAGAGCUGUGCCUCCCCAUCCUGAGCAGUGUGGAGGGCUAGCAAAUGGAAAUGCGGAAGGUGAAAUUUUUUUUGUCCUCCCUUUGUGCCCUGUUUUUCUGGUUGCGGUAACACCAGCUUGCCUCUUGGGUUAUCCAUCACAACCCCAGCACAUCACGGUGGUCACCCACCAUCCUUUCCCCCUGGCAGCCACUAAUCUCAAAUCCAUGGCCCCAUUGCCCAUCCAUGUGGGAUUAAGGUGCUGCUUGUGCUGCAUGGCCACGCACACGGGCUGAUGGAAACCCCCUCACGCUAACAGCCUUUCUCUGGUGCAGCAGUCUUCAACCAGGCAAAUCUCAUCCCCAUUCUGAGCCACUACUGUCUUCUGAAAGCUGUACGAUCUUGGAACCAGCCAGCAGGUGUGGGACUUAUUACAGAAGGGACUGUGCAAGUCAUGUUACUUGAGGAAAUUGGGAUGAAAAGGGACAUUAAGCUGCAGGAAAGCACAAAGCCAAGCACUUUCCUCAGACUGUGGUGUUGAGGUUCCAGGGGCUCUCAGAGGAAGCAGGUGUUUGGGAAUGCUGUGUCAGGAAGGUGUUUGGGGAUGCUGUGCCCAUGGGGAGACAAGAAAGCCAUAACAUUUGGGAACUGAGCAGCUGUUUCUGAGUGCAUACAUACUGAAAGGAAAACUGCUUGGCUUACUCUUCCUUCCCUCUGAGGAAAAACUCCAAACAGAAAUAUGAUUGCCUCACUGCACUUUGUAAAAAAAAAAAGCAACUUGACAUUUGACCAUAUAUGUUCUACUAAGGGACAUGGUUUAAAGGGGAAAUACUGGUGCUGGGUGUGCAGUUGGAGUGGAGGAUCUUGGAGGUCUUUUCCAACCUCAGUGAUUCUAUGAUUCUGUGAUUCGUAAGUGGUGUUUCCUUAGAUGUGGGCUCUGCUGUGAGACAGAUUGCUCUUGGGCCUCUGCUACUUUCCUAACUAAAAGAUCAAUGAUGGAUUAAAUUUCAGUUC